rnacentral:rRNA from 1 species
GAUGAACGCUGGCGGCGUGCUUAACACAUGCAAGUCGAACGGAAAGGCCACAGCUUGCUGUGGUACUCGAGUGGCGAACGGGUGAGUAACACGUGGGUGAUCUGCCCUGUACUUCGGGAUAAGCUUGGGAAACUGGGUCUAAUACCGGAUAGGAAUCACAUGUGGGUGUGUGGUUGGAAAGCUUUUGCGGUAUGGGACGAGCUCGGGGCCUAUCAGCUUGUUGGGGGGGUAAUGGCCUACCAAGGCGUCGACGGGUAGCCGGCCUGAGAGGGUGUACGGCCACAUUGGGACUGAGAUACGGCCCAGACUCCUACGGGAGGCAGCAGUGGGGAAUAUUGCACAAUGGGCGCAAGCCUGAUGCAGCGACGCCGCGUGGGGGAUGACGGCCUUCGGGUUGUAAACUCCUUUCGUCAGGGACGAAGCGAAAGUGACGGUACCUGGAGAAGAAGCACCGGCUAACUACGUG